AGAGUUUGAUCCUGGCUCAGAUUGAACGCUAGCGGCAUGCUUAACACAUGCAAGUCGAACGGAAACGAUAGAAGCUUGCUUCUGACGUCGAGUGGCGGACGGGUGCGUAAUGCGUAGGAAUCUACCUUAUAGUGGGGGAUAACUUAGGGAAACUUAAGAUAAUACCGCAUAAUCCUUACUGGGAAAGAGGGCCUCUUCUUGAAAGCUCUUGCUAUUAGAUGAGCCUGCGACAGAUUAGCUAGUUGGUGAGGUAAUGGCUCACCAAGGCAACGAUCUGUAGCUGGUCUUAGAGGAUGAUCAGCCACACUGGGACUGAGACACGGCCCAGACUCCUACGGGAGGCAGCAGUGGGGAAUAUUGGACAAUGGGGGGAACCCUGAUCCAGCAAUGCCGCGUGUGUGAAGAAGGCCUGAGGGUUGUAAAGCACCUUCAAUAGGGAGGAUUGAAUUCGUUAUUAAUAAUUUCGUUUUUCGACGUUACCUAUAGAAGAAGCACCGGCUAACUCCGUGCCAGCAGCCGCGGUAAUACGGAGGGUGCAAGCGUUAAUCGGAAUUACUGGGCGUAAAGCGCGCGUAGGUGGUUAGGUCAGUUAUAUGUGAAAGUCCUGAGCUUAACUUAGGAAUUGCAUAUAAUACUGCCUGACUAGAGUAUAGUAGAGGAAAGUGGAAUUCCGCAUGUAGCGGUGAAAUGCGUAGAUAUGCGGAAGAACAUCAGUGGCGAAGGCGACUUUCUGGACUAAUACUGACACUAAGGUGCGAAAGCGUGGGGAGCGAACAGGAUUAGAUACCCUGGU
rnacentral:rRNA from 1 species